rnacentral:rRNA from 1 species
AGUGAACGCUGGCGGUAGGCCUAACACAUGCAAGUCGAACGGCAGCACAGGAAGAGCUUGCUCUUACGGGUGGCGAGUGGCGGACGGGGGAGGAAGACAUCGGAAUCUACUUUGUAGUGGGGGAUAACGUAGGGAAACUUACGCUAAUACCGCAUACGACCUACGGGGGAAAGCAGGGGAUCGUCGGACCUUGCGCGAGUGAAUGAGCCGAUGUCGGAGUAGCUAGUUGGCGGGGUAAAGGCCCACCAAGGCGACGAUCCGUAGCUGGUCUGAGAGGGUGAUCCCCUACCCUGUCUCUGAGACACGGCCCAGACUCCUGCGCGGGGCCGCAGUGCGGACUAUUGGACGAUGCGCCCAAGCCUAAUCCAGCCCUACCGCGUGGGUCCAGAAGGCCUUCUGGUUCUAGAGCCCUUUUGUUGGGAAAGUUAAGCAGCAGGUUAAUCCCCCGCUGUUAUGACGGUACCCAAAGAAUAAGCACCGGCUAACUUCGUG